rnacentral:rRNA from 1 species
AUUGAACGCUGGCGGCAGGCCUAACACAUGCAAGUCGAACGGCAGCACAGAAGAGCUUGCUCUUUGGGUGGCGAGUGGCGGACGGGUGAGUAAUGUCUGGGAAACUGCCCGAUGGAGGGGGAUAACUACUGGAAACGGUAGCUAAUACCGCAUAACGUCGCGAGACCAAAGUGGGGGACCUUCGGGCCUCACACCAUCGGAUGUGCCCAGAUGGGAUUAGCUAGUAGGUGGGGUAAUGGCUCACCUAGGCGACGAUCCCUAGCUGGUCUGAGAGGAUGACCAGCCACACUGGAACUGAGACACGGUCCAGACUCCUACGGGAGGCAGCAGUGGGGAAUAUUGCACAAUGGGCGCAAGCCUGAUGCAGCCAUGCCGCGUGUAUGAAGAAGGCCUUCGGGUUGUAAAGUACUUUCAGCGGGGAGGAAGGCGGUGAAGUUAAUAGCUUAACCGAUUGACGUUACCCGCAGAAGAAGCACCGGCUAACUACGUGCCAGCAGCCGCGGUAA